rnacentral:lncRNA from 1 species
GUAAUGAUCCAAUGGCUGGCAAUGAGAGUUUCAUAAGAGACUUUGUCACUUUAAAUAGAGGUAGACAGAGGAGGAGGUGGACUCCUCUCUGGAAUCAUUCUUUGAUUCGGAUAGAGAGUCCAAUGAGAGAUGAACUCCCAAUGGGAGUUCUUUAGAUUUUAUUUUUUUCUUUUUUGUUUUGGUGCUGCUUUAAAAUUUGUGCAAGUAGAUUUUGCUGACUGAGGUGUUACAACCACUUUAUUUU